rnacentral:rRNA from 1 species
GACGAACGCUGGCGGCGUGCCUAAUACAUGCAAGUUGAGCGAUGAAGAUUGGUGCUUGCACCAAUUUGAAGAGCAGCGAACGGGUGAGUAACGCGUGGGGAAUCUGCCUUUGAGCGGGGGACGACAUUUGGAAACGAAUGCUAAUACCGCAUAACAACUUUAAACAUAAGUUUUAAGUUUGAAAGAUGCAAUUGCAUCACUCAAAGAUGAUCCCGCGUUGUAUUAGCUAGUUGGUGAGGUAAAGGCUCACCAAGGCGAUGAUACAUAGCCGACCUGAGAGGGUGAUCGGCCACAUUGGGACUGAGACACGGCCCAAACUCCUACGGGAGGCAGCAGUAGGGAAUCUUCGGCAAUGGACGAAAGUCUGACCGAGCAACGCCGCGUGAGUGAAGAAGGUUUUCGGAUCGUAAAACUCUGUUGGUAGAGAAGAACGUUGGUGAGAGUGGAAAGCUCAUCAAGUGACGGUAACUACCCAGAAAGGGACGGCUAACUACGUG